rnacentral:rRNA from 1 species
GACGAACGCUGGCGGCGUGCCUAAUACAUGCAAGUCGAACGGACCUUGCUUGGACGGAGUGGAGUACUUGUACAAAGCGAAGACUGAGCGCUGGUUAGUGGCGAACGGGUGAGUAACACGUAGGUAACCUACCGAUAAGACGAGGACAACUCAUGGAAACGUGAGCUAAUACUGGAUGUGGUAUAUGGAAGGCAUCUUCUAUAUAUUAAAGGAGCUUUUGGCUUCACUUAUUGAUGGACCUGCGGCGUAUUAGCUAGUUGGUAGGAUAGCAGCCUACCAAGGCAAUGAUACGUAGCCGAUCUGAGAGGAUAAACGGUCACACCGGGACUGAGAUACGGCCCAGACUCCUACGGGAGGCAGCAGUAGGGAAUUUUCCACAAUGGACGAAAGUCUGAUGGAGCAACGCCGCGUGUGUGAAGAAGGUUUUCGGAUUGUAAAGCACUGUUGUAUGGGAAGAAUAAGGUGAGAAGGAAAUGGCUCAUCGANGACG